ensembl:lncRNA
AGUGGACAUGUGUGCCUGCACCUCCUAUGCCAGCAAAUAAAUACCUUGAUAGAGUCUCACUAAAUCUCUUGCUGCGUGAAAGUUAUAACGAACCUCUGAGCAUAGUCAAGGAAAGAUAACGGCCAGAGAAUAAGGCAAGAUAAUUACUGUUGACAAGUUUAAUCCCUGCACGGCAGAUGAGAUAAUUCAGCUUGGUUAAGAUGCUCUAUCCAGAAUACAGGGAAGUGUUUCAGUAGAGAUGGCAUUUGGAACAGAAGAUCGCAGGUGCAAGUAAAGUUGAUUUCAGAUAUUAUGGGCUUUGUGGUGGAUUUACUGCGCUCAAUCAGCAUUCUCUCAGGGGGAAAUGUAAAAGGUUACCUCUGUAGCGGUGAAUAACUCCCUGCACACACAGAAGAUAGAGGAAAAGUAGCUAAUGGGAAGAUAAGAGUUUUCAACAAAAUUUUGCUUUUAACUGUAUGCAGAAGAAACUCCAAAGCCUCUGUUUCCUUUCUGCCAUUAUAAUGCAGGAAUUUUCCAAGAAAUAAGCAGUUUUAUUACCCUUUCCACAGUGUGGAAUCCACAGAACAGACAAACCAGCCUGAGUUUCAGACACACUUACCAUGAAACAGCCUGGAUGCAGGAUAUAUGGUGCUGAGUACUCUACAAAAAGCCAGACCUCCAGUAAGUGAUCCUUUCAAUAAGAAAGGUGGCACAGAGAUGGAAAGAGGAAAGCUGAGAUGCCAUUCAAUGCAUCCAUCAGUAUAUCACCAAUAGAAUUACAAUGCAUUCACAUCCCCAUCAGCACGCUGUCUGACAGCCCAUGAGAACACAGCUCCUGCAGAUGGCUUUGUCCAGGAGCAGGCUUAAAAGAGCAGCAGCAUGAAGCAAAUGAGCCAUUGGAAGUGAAAGCAACAGAGCCUCAGAGUAAGAAGCACCUUGAGAUGAAAAGCAAGGCAUGUGAAGAGCAAUCUCAAAGAGAUAUAAUAUAGUACAAAAGUUCUUGGGAACAACCGAAUUGAAAUGGAGAAAAAAUCUGAACAGCAAGCACUAUGAGCAUUCCUGAACCAAAACCAUUCAAUGAAAUCCCCCAAAACCAUUCAGUUUGCAUUAGAAGAAAACACAUUACGCUCUUUGGUGUGAACACAAGAUGAACCAACAGAUGAGUUAAGCCAAACAAUUCAAAACAAGAACAUUGUGAAUGCAUUCAAGUGAACCAGAGGUGGUACAGCACAGCAGCACAGACUGUUCUGUUAGCCCUGCAGUACAAAGUCUUCUGCCAGUGAUGUCCCAUUUAAUGUCAUCUAUCAUUUCUCAGCUAAGGCACUGAGGGGGAUGGAACUUGUCUAGCUAUUGGCUUUGAAUGAACACUUGCUUUUGGAGACAUUUAACUACAAAGAGUAGAAGGCAUCUGAAGCAGAAACACGCUCUACAGCCCAAGCACUCUGAGCUUUUUGCUCUAUACACCCUGUAACAGUGUGAAGAAGGCACCUACUGAACCUCAGAUUCAUUUCAUCCUGGAUAUACGUCUGUGCUUUUGUUGUCUUUUCCUGUUAAUUCAUUGUAAUAGGAAGAGCAUACCUUCCAAACUGCAGCACCUAAGCGCUACAUUUCUAUUUCUCUUUGCAUCACGUUACUAAUAUCCUUCCAGUGUAGCUUCUGCUGCAUGCACUAAGUUUUAAU